AAAGAAAGAAAAAGUUAUAAUCAUGGAUGAAUAAAAGGAUGUGUGAUUGGAAGGUCAUUAAUUUAUUUGAAACAAGAAUCAUCUCUAGGUUACUUGGAAUGAGGAGAUGUUUUCCUCUGUCAGCCAAGGGGAAAAGAGAAGACUCGAAUUCAAGGCCUUGUGUGUGUGAAGCAGGGUAAAGUCACCAGCACCAGUUUGAUCCCCCGUGAAUGUUGGAAGAUUCCAACCCAACCCAAGGUGCUGGCAGGGAUGACCCUCAGCAUCACAACCCAAAGAAUUGCCUCAAAAGAAACAGUGUUGGUUUGGAACAAAAGAAAAGUAUUUCAAAUGACUCUACUUUGAAUCUCCUGAGACAGCAUCAGCUCGGGGAGACUUGUUAGGGGAUCUACAACCUGCUUUGAGCUUUCAGCUUGGUUAGUCACACCUAAUUCUGACAUGGAUUCUGCUGCAGCAUUGUAGAUGUCACUGUCACAGUAUGGGGAAAUCUCUGCAGAAAGCUUGUUGAUGCUGUCUGACCCCGGAGGUUGGUGCAUUUUCCAGGGUUGCAGGAUAAAAGAAGUCACACUCUUACCUGACUUAGAACUGUGCAGUCAAUUCCACGCCCCUCAAGUAUUUGUGGUGACUGGAACUUACAUGUCAGGUGAUCAGCUGA